rnacentral:rRNA from 1 species
GACAGCGGAGGCAAGCGUUAUCCGGAAUUAUUGGGCGAAAAGCGUUCGUAGGUGGUCUAACAAGUCUGGGGUCAAAGCCCGGAGCCCAACUCCGGAUCGGCCUUGGAAACUGUCAGACUGGAGUAAGGUAGGGGUUGCGGGAAUUCCCGGUGUAGCGGUGAAAUGCGUAGAUAUCGGGAAGAACACCAGCGGCGAAAGCGCGCAACUAGGCCAUUACUGACACUGAGGGACGAAAGCUAGGGGAGCGAAUGUG